UACGUAGGCAGCAAGCGUUGUUCGGAAUUACUGGGCGUAAAGAGUGUGUAGGCGGUGCUCUACGUUCGGUGUGAAAUCUCCCGGCUUAACUGGGAGGGUGCGCCGGAAACUGGAGUGCUCGAGCGCGGGAGAGGAAAGCGGAAUUCCUGGUGUAGCGGUGAAAUGCGUAGAUAUCAGGAGGAACACCUGUGGUGUAGACGGCUUUCUGGACCGUAGCUGACGCUGAGACACGAAAGCGUGGGUAGCAAACAGG
rnacentral:rRNA from 1 species